UGGGACAUAACCUGAGUCAUCAAGAGCCAAAUACAAGACUAGGAAAUACUCAGCAAGGUUACAGGGAUACUAAGCAAAGCUAUCAAUAUAAAGUGAAAACUCAGCUAAGGUAUUAAACGUAAGGAACAAGGAAAUUAAUCUAUAAAAGCCAAGCUUCCCAUAUUCAGUUCCUCUUCUCAUGUGUUUCAUGUCAUACAUCAACUCAAGCAUGUAAGCAAGCUGAAAUUAGAAAGUGAUUGAAAUUGAGGAAGGAAAUUGAUGUAAUUGAAGCAACAAUUGCCUAGAAUUCAAGUGGAUAAGAGGUAAUCUAUCUAUGUGUUUAUGCUUGUUAGUUAGAAUUAGGAUAUAUAUAUGAAUAUCAGUGGAUAUAUCACUGUAAUUUGGUAUUUAUGGAAAUUAGUUUGAAAUUGAUGUGUAUGGUAUUUGAUUACAGCAAUAUGGUAAAAGUUUAUGUUUCUGUUUAUCUGGAGAAAUAAGAUAGAAGCCAGAAGCAUAUUGAUAGACAUUGAAUUGAAUUCCCAAGCUCUGCCGAAGCAGAGCUCUGUCUGGGUCUGAACUCGGAAGUGGCGCAGCUGCGCCACUUCCCAAGCCAAUACCAGAGCAGCUGCGCUGGUCCCCAGAAUUCAAAAAUAGUUUUCCUUGUGUUCUAAAGUUCUGGGCAGGUAUAAUGAAGUUGUAUAAGCAUAAAAUCAAGUGUUUUGCAUGAAACAAGUUACGUAAGCAUGAUUAGAAUAAGUUUCCAAACAAAAGUUAUCUUGAAUUUUAAGUAGAUGAGCUAAUGAAGUAUGAGCAUAUAUACUUGAGUAUGAUGUGAUUUCAAAAAGAAAGGAAAAUGAUUUUUAAAAAGUAAAUUUAAAGCAAGCUUAAAAUAGGAACUCAAAACUGAUAUACACUCUUAAAUCAUGUGUACAUGUGAACUUUAUAAAGUUUUAGCAUGCUUUAAAUAGAUCUGUGCAUUGAAUAGCUCAAAUCUGGACUGGACAGGGAGUAGUACAGCUGCGCCACUCUCAAACCUAAGAACAACGCAACUGCGCUGCUCUGCAGAACCACCACAGUUUAUACAUGCAGGGACGGAGCCAUGUAGGGGCUGGGUUGGGCUGUAGCCCGAGUCAAUUUUUUUUUUUUAUUUUUUACUUAUAUAUCUUAGCCCAGCCCAAGUAAUCUCAAAAAAAAAGGAACGGGUACUACCGAGCAAGGAGCAAGACUGCAAGAAGUACUAUCGAGCAAGGAGCAGAUUGAAGAACAAUCUAGGGCACACUGCACAUCUAGGGCUAAGUUGAAGAACAAAAUUCAACUUCAGGUAAUUUAGAUUUUGUACUGUAUGAACAGAAUGUAACUACUUGUAUAAAAUAGUGUUUCAUUGCAUGUCAAGUAUGUUCAAUAGUAGAGAUUUCCAUGUUAUUGAG
rnacentral:lncRNA from 1 species